rnacentral:antisense_RNA from 1 species
AGUUUUGGCGGCUCGAUCAGGGAGCCGUGAGGCUCGCCGGUUCGUGCAAGCGGUGCCCGGUCUGCCAACCUGUUCGAGCCGCCGCCCUC